rnacentral:rRNA from 1 species
GACGAACGCUGGCGGCGUGCUUAACACAUGCAAGUGGAGCGACGAACCAGGCUUCGGCCUGGGGCAGAGCCGCGAACGGGUGAGUAACACGUGGGUAACCUGCCCUGAUGAUCGGGACAACCCGGGGAAACCCGGGCUAAUACCGAAUGUGCCCGCGAGCCGCAAGGCUUGCGAGGAAAGGAAGCUUCGGCCUCCGCAUCGGGAUGGGCCCGCGGCCCAUUAGCUUGUUGGUGGGGUAACGGCCUACCAAGGCAGCAAUGGGUAGCUGGUCUGAGAGGACGAUCAGCCACACUGGGACUGAGACACGGCCCAGACUCCUACGGGAGGCAGCAGUGGGGAAUAUUGGACAAUGGGCGCAAGCCUGAUCCAGCCACGCCGCGUGAGUGAUGAAGGCCU